UACGUAGGGGGCAAGCGUUGUCCGGAUUCAUUGGGCGUAAAGAGCGUGUAGGCGGCCGGGUAGGUCGGUUGUGAAAACUGGAGGCUCAACCUUCAGAGGUCGACCGAAACCAUCUGGCUAGAGUCCGGGAGAGGAGAGUGGAAUUCCUGGUGUAGCGGUGAAAUGCGCAGAUAUCAGGAAGAACACCCGUGGCGAAAGCGGCUCUCUGGAACGGUACUGACGCUGAGACGCGAAAGCGUGGGGAGCGAUCCGG
rnacentral:rRNA from 1 species